rnacentral:rRNA from 1 species
GGUGCUGCAUGGUUGUCGUCAGCUCGUGCCGUGAGGUGUCGGCUUAAGUGCCAUAACGAGCGCAACCCUUAUUUCCAGUUACCAUCGGGUGAUGCCGGGGACUCUGGAAAGACUGCCGUCGUAAGAUGUGAGGAAGGUGGGGAUGACGUCAAAUCAGCACGGCCCUUACGUCCGGGGCUACACACGUGUUACAAUGGGUGGUACAGAAGGCAGCUACACGGCAACGUGAUGCUAAUCCCAAAAACCACUCUCAGUUCGGAUUGGAGUCUGCAACCCGACUCCAUGAAGCUGGAUUCGCUAGUAAUCGCGCAUCAGCCACGGCGCGGUGAAUACGUUCCCGGGCCUUGUACACACCGCCCGUCAAGCCAUGAAAGCCGGGGGUACCUGAAGUGCGUAACCGUAAGGAGCGCCCUAGGGUAAAACUGGUAAUUGGGGCUAAGUCG